AAUAUUGGACAAUGGAGGCAACUCUGAUCCAGCCAUGCCGCGUGAAGGAAGACUGCCCUAUGGGUUGUAAACUUCUUUUAUAGAGGAAGAAACGCAGAUACGUGUAUUUGUUUGACGGUACUCUACGAAUAAGGAUCGGCUAACUCCGUGCCAGCAGCCGCGGUAAUACGGAGGAUCCAAGCGUUAUCCGGAAUCAUUGGGUUUAAAGGGUCCGCAGGCGGUUGUUUAAGUCAGAGGUGAAAGUUUGCAGCUCAACUGUAAAAUUGCCUUUGAUACUGAAUGACUUGAGUUAUAAUGAAGUGGUUAGAAUAUGUAGUGUAGCGGUGAAAUGCAUAGAUAUUACAUAGAAUACCGAUUGCGAAGGCAGAUCACUAAUUAUAUACUGACGCUGAGGGACGAAAGCGUGGGGAGCGAACAGGAUUAGAUACCCUGGUAGUCCACGCUGUA
rnacentral:rRNA from 1 species